UAGUCGAGGUUUAAUAAACUACUCGUAGUAAUUAGAGUAGGACUCUCUCGUCGAAUCCGACUAGUAUUCUUGUAAAACAACCGACAUGUAACUCUGCCCCCGGCAAUAUAAGGUGAGGUGGGGACUCUCUCCAAACAAGUUCAAUCAAUACAAUCCAACCAACACACAGGACAUAAUAUAACGCGAUAUAAGCGGCCCGAACCUAUCUAAAUCGUGUGUUCGAGUUCACCUUCAAAUUCCUGAUCUUGACAAAC
rnacentral:lncRNA from 1 species